GAUCCCAGCCCUGGAAACCAACCCCCCAAAUUGCUCUCCCUCCUCUAAGAAAAAGAUAAUUUAUCUCCCACUUUGACUCUGUGGUCCCACCCCGUCUCUCCUCUCGUCUAGACUUCCAAGUGCUGGCCUUCCUCUCCCCGCAAGAUGCUCCCCCCCCCCACCAGCUCUCAGCCUUCACCUUCUGAUUGUCACUGUCUCCUUCACAACUAAGAUCAGGAUUUGUGAUUAGUUAAGCUGACCGAGAUAGGAAUCGAGGCGAGGCCUAGGAAGGGGGGACUGGGACGCCCCGAGCCUUCAAAUGGCAAACUGUGUCACCUUCCCAUGGCUCCUCAUCACCUCUGCGCCUCACCCUCCACACACCACUUAAUCGCUCUCUCAAGUUCCAAAGCGAAUUAAAACUCAGAGACUAGGGACGGAGUCUUUCCAUCACACCCUUUCUCUUGCUUCCCUGGGGGACGAGGGUGGCCUGGAGGAACAAUAGCUUCCCUUAGCCCCUUCUUCCUGCCUCAGGUUAGAAAAGGCAGUAGGGGAGGUGGCAAGCAGAGUGGAGGUGACAAAGACCCCUGGCCACACAGGCAUUGGAAGGAAGAAGGAGGGGCUUUGUCAGAGUGGGUUGUUAUUUUGGUGGUGGUGGUGGUAGUGUCUCCAGAGAGGGGCAGCACCCCCUUUUCGCUGCCUUUCCAGGGAGAGCAGCAAGAGAAAGAAAGAGAGAGGCAAACGAAAUUCCUGAAUGGAUAGACAGAUGCUACGUCAUCGGAGCUGCAUCCUCCACUCCACAAGAGGCUAGGAGCCGGGGGGAGAAAGGCAGUCCAGCCGCAGGGGCCACCCGAACAGUCUCUCCUCCUCACAGAAGCCUGGAGCUGGGCAUCCAAGAAGGAGCCGCCUCAUUUGUUUCUGGUGUCAUCGUAGGUGGCCACCUAUGGCUUCUGGGCUUCUCACCCAGGGCGGGUGGGUGCUCCACCACCCUACCGCCCUCCUUCCGCUGUGUGGAUGACAGAGCCACAUCCAGCACCACGGACAGCUCCCGGGCGCCCUCAUCUCGUCCUCCGGGCAGCACAAGCCGCUGUGGAAUCUCCACGGAGGGCACACAAUGGUGCCUCCACAUCCUGCCACUCAGGACCUCUCAAGUCCCUGAUAUGAUGGCUCCUCGGCAUCGUCAGGAGAAACUCCAUGAUCUUGCGUAUUCCCGUCUUGGGAAGUCCUUCUCAAUAUCUAACCAAGAUCUACACGGCUGUAGCACCAGCCCUUCGGCCCUUGGCUUGGCCUGGCUGAGUUGAGAG